UACAUGUGCAUUGCAUUCAUAAGCAUCAUGCCACAAUUGCAUAUUUGAAUUCAAAUUUUGAAUCACAAAAGGCUUUAAGAGAUCUUGUUUACAUCCCUGUAACCUUUGGAUUUUCAAACCAAUAGGGUUGAUGUAUAAAAAGGGUUUAGUGCAUAUAUAAGCUAUCCCAUAAUUUUUGGUUAAUUAUUUGGAGUUGAAAAAGUAUUUUUAUUUAAAUAGUUAUAUGGCCCUAAAGCAUUUAUAGGGCAAAUGUAUUUUUACAUAUUUUAUUUUGAAGAGAAACUACUUCCAAAAGUUGUAUCUUGGUAGAACAUGAUUUUACAAAUUUUCUGAAAUUUAUUUGGACCAAUUUGGAGUUCAAACUCAAAAGAUAUCAAAGAAAUGAGAAAAGCAGAAAAAGAAAAGGCUAAAAGAAAAAAAAAAUAGAAAACCGGACCGGCCCGGCCAAAAUGGGCCGAACCGGCCCAGUCCGACCGCACGCGCGCCGGCCCCGCCAGCCCGGCCGCCCCACGCGCGCGCCCACACCCGCUGACAGGUGGGGCCCACCUGUCAGGGGCUUCUUCCCCGGAAGGAAACCCUCGCGCCGGUCACGCGCGCGAUUUCCGGCCGCCGUCCCCGCGCGCCCGCCGCCGCAAUCCGCUCCUCCGGCCUUCCUUUUUCACGCCCG
rnacentral:lncRNA from 1 species